rnacentral:sRNA from 1 species
GGCUGGAGAACUAAGCAGUGCCUUGCUAAGAAGCCUGCAUUUUAACCUGAAGGGACAUGGGAGCUACUUCAGGCUGCACCUCUGGACCUGCAGCACCGGCUCUUCAUGAAGCUGGGCAGCACGCACUCUCCGUUCAGGGCCCGCUCAGAACCUGAGGACCCAGCCACGGAGCGAUCAGCCUUCACGGAGCGGGAUGCUGGGAGCGGGCUGGUGACAUGUCUCCGUGAGCGGCCAGCCCUGCUGGUCAGCAGCACGAGCUGGACAGAAUUUGAGCAACUGACUCUUGAUGGACACAACCUUCCUUCUCUCGUCUGUGUGAUAACAG